GCUUCGGUGGCCUAGUGGUCAAAGCGUUGGCCUCAGAUGCGGGGGUGGGGUGGGGUGUCACGGGUUCAAAUCCAGAUCGAGUCA